UUGAAUUAAUGGCACUUUUCCAGACAAGGAGAAAGCUGUGAGAUUGGCUGCUUAAGCUCCAAAGGACAGCUCCUUGUAAGGAAACUUGUAGGAUCCAAGAGCUGCAGGAGAAAACAGAAUACUCAUAGUCUCUCUGGAAGCCUGUUUAAAGCACGCUGGAUUUACCCAAUCUACUAAAGCACUUUUUGAUGAAGAAAACUUAAAAUAUAAACAGGCUUUUCAAAGCAGCUGAGUACUUAAAGCUAACUGGAUUCAAAGAAGAGAUGGAGAAAAUACAACUGGAUCAAUAAGAAGAAGCCAUAUAACAAAUAAAGUAAGAAGAGGAAGAGAUGAAUGAUCAUCAUGGCAGAUGUAGUUUCAUCAUCUUUUUUAUAUCAUGGUGACAAAAACUGGAUGCAAUAUUCCAAGUGUGGUCUUAAUCAAGGAAUCAUAGUGGUAUUAAUUACUUCACAUGAUCUUGAUUUUAUCCCUCUGUUAAUGCAACCUAGGACUGUGUUGGCUUUUUUGGCAGCUGCAGCAUACUGCUGGCUCAUAUUUAAGUGAUUGUCCACUAGGACUCCAAGGUCCCUCUCACAGUUACUACAUUGGCUGACUGAAGAUACCACUAUUGUUGCAUCAUUCUGCUAAAAAGCAGGAUCUUAGAAAAUGAAUAAUGAGUGAUUUUAUACUUCAGAAUUGCACCUGGUAGAAUACUCUGAUUGUAUUUAUAUCUACUAAAUCCCAUUUGAAAACCAAAAUAAUUACUUUUUAGAGUAUAAUUAAUGAUACUGUCUUUUUUUGCCUUACAUUAUGCUGUUGCUUCUUUCAAAAUUCUUCUCUAUCAGAUUUGAAAAUUAAGAUUGUCCCAAGAUAUGUAAUUUGUGCUUUAGUUUGUCAGUAACAUAGUGGAGGUUAACAUAUGCUGGUAAUUCCUAAGACUUAUAGCUAUGCUGUUUGUUAUAAAAUGCAUGACACACUUUAUAAAAUGAAGUCAUUGGUAUCCUACGGUGUAUUUGAAAGAAACAACAUUUUUGUACCUUAAGAUGACCAUUGACUAUGGCACCGUUUGUUCUGCUACUCAAUUUGCUGUGCAGUUCUCAAAUACCCUUCUUUCCAGAGACCAUUUUAAUAAAGUAGAGCAUGUUUAUCAUUUCAUUUUUGACAGUGCAGAAAUCAUAGGUAGGGGGUUAAGAGCUGAGAAAAGCAUUAACCUCAUGCAGAUCUCAUCCUACCAAUCAAAAAAAGGAUGGGAGAGACAACUGUGCUCCAGUAAAGUUCCUAGGCAAAUCAUAACAUUCUCCCUCAAACUAUUUUGUACCUGCAGAGUAUUUUUUAUAAGCUCACAAGGGAAUAAUUUUCUUGAGAUAAACAAAUUGCCCUAUGUUUUUUGUUUGAUUCAAGAAGCUAGAUCAUGUAUUGAUAUAAAAAUAGACUUAACAUUUAACCGUUGGAUUGAAAGAAAAUGAAAAGACUGAAAGAAAAAUUCAUUUCACAAUCCAUAUGGUCAAAUAAUACAACCUUUGUUCCAAACCUCUUUGCUCAGAUACAUUUUUCAAUUCUGUGUCUGAAUUCUGUGGCAAUCCUUUCUCAGAGUUGUCAAAUGUUGUUUAUUAGCAAAAAACAAUAACCUCCCAAAUCUUGUGAACAGAGGCCUUGUGAGUCAAACAGAGUGUUUUUUAUUAUUUUAUCCCACUUUUAUUAUUUUUAUAAAUAACUCAAGGCAGCAAACAUGUCUAAUAUUCCUUCUAUUUUCUCCAGAAAAAAUAUAUGCUGUGAGAUGAAUUGGGCUGCAAGAGAACGAUUGUCCCAAAGUCACUCAGCCAGCUUUCAUGACUAAAGUAAGAUUAGAACUCAUAAUCUCCUAGUUUCUAGCCUAUGCUUUAACCAUUAGACCAAGCUGACUCUAAAACUUUAUAGUUUAAUCUGCUGGAUUUGAGAACCCUGUUUUCAAUUUAUACUCAUCUUCUGACUUUAUAACAACAUUGUUUAGGGUUGCUGAACAGAAGGAUUAUUGGUUUAGACUAAUAUAUUUCUCUUCUUCCUAAUCUUAUAAUUUGAAUCAUGGUGUGUUAUAAAGCAGAUAAUUGGACUGGAUCUAGGUUAACUAGUAGCUAUUUUCUGAAAUACUUCUGUGCAGGGCCAGGCCAGUUAACAACCAUUCUAUUUACUUUAGGACCAACUGGAGCUGAUUGAGCAGAAUGUUGGUUGGUUGAUGGAAAAAUUAAGCCUCCGUUUCCUACCUGGCUGUAGCUAGAAGUGACUGGCUGGCUGUUCUGCAGUCUUGGUCUCUCCUCUUAAUACUUUCUCCAAAGUUAAAAUGAAAAUAAGCAUGUGCACACAUAACACAUACACCUCCAACCAACGACUAAAUAUCUUGGGAGAAUAAUCCAACUCUAUAUGAAAAAAAUAAUUAAUAAUAAAAAUUUCAGUCUGGAGUCAGACAACUACAUGUAUUAAAUUAGAAUUUAGAGGAAGGAAGACUCUACUCUUAAAUGAAGGUAUAUCUAUUUGGAAUCUAAGCUUAUUUGUAACAUAAGACUAGUCCUUGUGCAAGAGGUCUAGGCCCAUCUAGCCAUCCGUGGCCCAACAGAGGCAUCCCAAAUGCUAUAAAUAGGGAAUCAAGGUAGUCCUCCUCUUCCAUUGCUUUUCCUUUGUACCUAGUGUGCAGAAGCAGACUGCCUCCAUGCGAGGAAUGAGUGCCUAGUCUUCAAGGCUAAUAACCAUGAAUAGAUUUGUCCUCCAUGAAUUUGUCUUCUGAAGCUAUCUCAGCUAGCAACGAUCUUCUGGAAUUAUAUACCAUGGUUGAUUACACACUGAAUGAAAAAAAAUCCUAUCAAUUUUAAAUUUAUUAGUCAAUUUCAUUGGGGGAAGGGCUUCUACUAGUAUUAACACUGUGCAGAAGUUGCAACUCUUACAGCUCUACAGUUUUACUCUAAAACUGAAACUUCUUUUAUGUGUAAAUGCAACAAAGUAAUCAUCCAUGUUUUAAAAGUAAUGUCAACCGUGAAACUGAGUAGUUGUUAAAAAGGCUUAACAGUAGAAGUAUAUCAAUAUAUGUAUAUAUAAAUAUAUUUUAAAUGUGUGCUUUAUUUUUUAAACCUGUAUAAAUAAAUACAAAAUGACAAAGAGGUUUAUGUUUACUAAACAUUGCAUUUGAUUGUAUGACAUUACACAGUGUCUGUCACAAUAGGUUGAUUGAAAAUUGUGUCCUUUCUGCUGUUGGUGCAUAAUUACAGAAGUUUGUCGGAUACAAUUAGUCCUGAAUCUGCAUCCAGCCACCCUUUUCAGAGAAACCCCUGAGUACUUACAAUUGCAAAAGAGUGUUAGGGGAGCCAUUAAACCACAGUGGCUGAAUUCUUGAAAUUUUGCAAGAAAAAAAAGAGAUAAUUUUGCUGUCGAUAUAUAAAACAAAUGGCAGACUUGCAAACAUCCUGGUUUCUUAGAAUAGUAUUUCCUCCCCCAGUGGCUGAAAAACCCCACAAAAUGGCCUAAAGAAAUAAUAAUAAUAAUAAUAAUAAUAAUAAUAAUAAUAAUAAUAAUAAUAAUGACUCAUUUCAUUUUUAUUACAUUACUUAAUCACCUGAGAUUCCUUUGCUCUCCUCAUGUUCACUGAAAGCUUGAGAAUGUUAAUAACCAUUGACUUUGUGAUGCACAUAUAUUACACAUGAUUUUUUUCAUUGCUUAAAUAUUCAUCCAUGGAUCUGCCUAACAUAAUAAAGUCUUAGCCAGUUUUAUGGUGGAUUUGAGUUCAGCAGUUGUGUAGCAUGGGAGUGGUUAGAUUUCAUUCUGGACUUUGUAGUACAAAGGUAACUUUGCCAAUAACAGCUAUCUUCACUACUGUACUCCAAAACUGGCUAUUGUACUCCAUGUUAGGUAAAUCCAUAUCUGAAGAUGAAUUGCAUAUGGUCACCCACUAGGACAGUGUUUCCCAAACUUGACAAUUUUAAGGCAU